UGAGGGAUUUUCCACAAUGGGCGAAAGCCUGAUGGAGCAAUGCCGCGUGCAGGAUGACGGCCCUCGGGUUGUAAACUGCUUUUAUGAGGGAAGAUUAUGACGGUACCUCAUGAAUAAGGCGCUGCUAACUACGUGCCAGCAGCAGCGGUAAUACGUAGGCGUCAAGCGUUAUCCGGAUUCACUGGGCGUAAAGCGUCCGCAGGUGGACUUAUAAGUCUGAUAUUAAAUAUCCCGGCUUAACCGGGAAAAGGUGUCAGAAACUGUAAGUCUAGAGGCCGGUAGGGGCUGUCGGAACUUAUCGAGUAGGGGUAAUAUCCGUUGAUACGAUAAGGAACACCAAAGGCGAAGGCAGACAGCUGGGCCGGUCCUGACACUCAGGGACGAAAGCGUGGGGAGCGAACGGG
rnacentral:rRNA from 1 species